ensembl:snRNA U2 U2 spliceosomal RNA
AUUACUUCUUGGUCUUUUGGCUAUGAUCAAGUACAGUAUCUCUUCUUAUCAGUAUAAUACCUGGGUGAUGAAAUAAUCUGUACAACAAACCCCCA